CCUACGGGUGGCAGCAGUGAGGAAUAUUGGUCAAUGGCCGGAAGGCUGAACCAGCCAAGCCGCGUGAAGGACGAAGGUGCCAAGCAUUGUAAACUUCUUUUGUCAAGGGACAAAAUCAGGCUCGAGAGCCUGACCGAGGGUACUUGAAGAAAAAGCAUCGGCGAAAUCCGUGACAGCAGCCGCGGUAAUACGGAGGAUGCAAGCGUUAACAGGAUUAAUUGGGCUUAAAGGGGGCGUAGGCGGACUGUUAAGUCAGCGGUAAAAUCCCGGGGCUCAACCCCGGCGAGCCGUUGAAACUGGCUGUCUUGAGAUGUCGAGAGGUAUGCGGAAUGCGCAGUGUAGCGGUGAAAUGCUUAGAUAUUGCGCAGAACUCCGAUUGCGAAGGCAGCAUACCGGCGGCGAUCUGACGCUGAGGCACGAAAGCGUGGGUAUCGAACAGGAUUAGAUACCCGGGUAGUC
rnacentral:rRNA from 1 species